rnacentral:misc_RNA from 1 species
GUUUGAACAAGAGACCACCUCAAGUAAGUUUGUCUAUUGGGGAUGCAGAUUUAAGUAUCAAUGACAACUUAAAGGGUAAUCAUUAAUCAAAGAAUUACUGUUUGAUAAAGUAUAGUGGGUACUCAUCGUUACAGAGUAUCUCCUUCCCACCUCAAGCUUUUCACUUCUUCUCACCUUAAGAUUGUAAUUUUGUAAAUUUUUAUUCUUCAAAGAACUUCCCUGAGCUUGAAGUUGAACUUAUUGAAAUGGUAUCUCACUUCCAGUUAGGCCUGAUCUUAUUUCAUGGAGAUCACUUUCAGUGUGGCUGAUAAGCAUUUGUUAAAUCUUUAAGGAUCUGUGGUUAUUGGUGUAAUUUUGUUUUUCGAUUUCUCUGUCAGAUUUACUUCAAGAAGA